rnacentral:rRNA from 1 species
ACACGUAGGUGACGAGCGUUAUCCGGAUUCACUGGGCGUAAAGGGCAAGUAGGCGGUUGCUCAAGUUGGGCGUGACAAUCUCUGGCUUAACUAGGGAGGGACGUUCAAAACUAGGCAACUAGAGGGCAGGAGAGGAAAGCGGAAUUCCUAGUGUAGCGGUGGAAUGCUCAGAUACUAGGAGGAACACCGGUGGCGAAGGCGGCUUUCUGGUCUGCACCUGACGCUGAGAGGCGAAAGCUAGGGUAGCAAACGGGCUUAGAUACCCCGGUAGUCCUAGCUGUAAACGGUGGAUACUGGGUAUUGGGGGCUAACAUGCCUUCAGUGCCGAAGCAAACGCGUUAAGUAUCCCGCCUGGGGACUACGGCCGCAAGGUUAAA